CACGAAACGUUUGUUCGCCACCACAGCAACCGAACUGAAUAUAUUAUAUUUAUUGUAUUUUUAUGAUUUAUGGUAAAAACGAUAAAUUUUUGCGCAUUUUCACCAUAAAUCAUAAAAAUACAAUAAAUAUAAUAUAUUUAGUUGGGUUGCUGUGGUGGCGAGGAAACGUUUCGUG